CGAGGCCGAAAGGCGUAGUCGAUGGGAAACAGGUUAAUAUUCCUGUACUUGGUGUUACUGCGAAGGGGGGACGGAGAAGGCUAUGUUGGCCGGGCGACGGUUGUCCCGGUUUAAGCGUGUAGGCUGGUUUUCCAGGCAAAUCCGGAAAAUCAAGGCUGAGGCGUGAUGACGAGGCACUACGGUGCUGAAGCAACAAAUGCCCUGCUUCCAGGAAAAGCCUCUAAGCAUCAGGUAACAUCAAAUCGUACCCCAAACCGACACAGGUGGUCAGGUAGAGAAUACCAAGGCGCUUGAGAGAACUCGGGUGAAGGAACUAGGCAAAAUGGUGCCGUAACUUCGGGAGAAGGCACGCUGAUAUGUAGGUGAAGUCCCUUGCGGAUGGAGCUGAAAUCAGUCGAAGAUACCAGCUGGCUGCAACUGUUUAUUAAAAACACAGCACUGUGCAAACACGAAAGUGGACGUAUACGGUGUGACGCCUGCCCGGUGCCGGAAGGUUAAUUGAUGGGGUCAGCGCAAGCGAAGCUCUUGAUCGAAGCCCCGGUAAACGGCGGCCGUAACUAUAACGGUCCUAAGGUAGCGAAAUUCCUUGUCGGGUAAGUUCCGACCUGCACGAAUGGCGUAAUGAUGGCCAGGCUGUCUCCACCCGAGACUCAGUGAAAUUGAACUCGCUGUGAAGAUGCAGUGUACCCGCGGCAAGACGGAAAGACCCCGUGAACCUUUACUAUAGCUUGACACUGAACAUUGAGCCUUGAUGUGUAGGAUAGGUGGGAGGCUUUGAAGUGUGGACGCCAGUCUGCAUGGAGCCGGCCUUGAAAUACCACCCUUUAAUGUUUGAUGUUCUAACGUGGACCCGUGAUCCGGGUUGCGGACAGUGUCUGGUGGGUAGUUUGACUGGGGCGGUCUCCUCCUAAAGAGUAACGGAGGAGCACGAAGGUUGGCUAAUCCUGGUCGGACAUCAGGAGGUUAGUGCAAUGGCAUAAGCCAGCUUGACUGCGAGCGUGACGGCGCGAGCAGGUGCGAAAGCAGGUCAUAGUGAUCCGGUGGUUCUGAAUGGAAGGGCCAUCGCUCAACGGAUAAAAGGUACUCCGGGGAUAACAGGCUGAUACCGCCCAAGAGUUCAUAUCGACGGCGGUGUUUGGCACCUCGAUGUCGGCUCAUCACAUCCUGGGGCUGAAGUAGGUCCCAAGGGUAUGGCUGUUCGCCAUUUAAAGUGGUACGCGAGCUGGGUUUAGAACGUCGUGAGACAGUUCGGUCCCUAUCUGCCGUGGGCGCUGGAGAACUGAGGGGGGCUGCUCCUAGUACGAGAGGACCGGAGUGGACGCAUCACUGGUGUUCGGGUUGUCAUGCCAAUGGCACUGCCCGGUAGCUAAAUGCGGAAGAGAUAAGUGCUGAAAGCAUCUAAGCACGAAACUUGCCCCGAGAUGAGUUCUCCCUGACCCUUUAAGGGUCCUGAAGGAACGUUGAAGACGACGACGUUGAUAGGCCGGGUGUGUAAGCGCAGCGAUGCGUUGAGCUAACCGGUACUAAUGAACCGUGAGGCUUAACCUU
rnacentral:rRNA from 1 species